GGAAGGUUCACAGCUUAGUGGCAGAGCAACUGCUUUGCAUGCAGAUGGUCCCUGGUUCAACUUCUGGCACCUCCA